UAAUACGUAGGAUGCGAGCGUUGUCCGGAAUUAUUGGGCGUAAAGAGAACGUAGGCGGUUUCUUAAGAUUGGUCUUAAAGACCGGGGCUCAACCCCGGGAAUGGAUCGAUAACUGGGAGACUGGAGGACGUCAGAGGAAAGUGGAAUUCCGAGUGUAGCGGUGAAAUGCGUAGAUAUUCGGAGGAACACCAGUGGCGAAAGCGACUUUCUGGGGCGUUCCUGACGCUGAGGUUCGAAAGCUCGGGGAGCAAACAGGAUUAGAUACCCUGGUAGUCCGAGCCGUAAACGAUGGAUACUAGGUGUCGUGGGUAUCGACCCCCGCGGUGCCGUAGCUAACGCGUUAAGUAUCCCGCCUGGGGAGUACGGUCGCAAGACUG
rnacentral:rRNA from 1 species